UGCAGUCGAGCGAACAGAUGAGAAGCUUGCUUCUCUGAUGUUAGCGGCGGACGGGUGAGUAACACGUGGGUAACCUACCUAUAAGACUGGGAUAACUCCGGGAAACCGGGGCUAAUACCGGAUAAUAUUUUGAACCGCAUGGUUCAAUAGUGAAAGACGGUUUCGGCUGUCACUUAUAGAUGGACCCGCGCCGUAUUAGCUAGUUGGUAAGGUAACGGCUUACCAAGGCGACGAUACGUAGCCGACCUGAGAGGGUGAUCGGCCACACUGGAACUGAGACACGGUCCAGACUCCUACGGGAGGCAGCAGUAGGGAAUCUUCCGCAAUGGGCGAAAGCCUGACGGAGCAACGCCGCGUGAGUGAUGAAGGUCUUCGGAUCGUAAAACUCUGUUGUUAGGGAAGAACAAAUUUGUUAGUAACUGAACAAGUCUUGACGGUACCUAACCAGAAAGCCACGGCUAACUACGUGCCAGCAGCCGCGGUAAUACGUAGGUGGCAAGCGUUAUCCGGAAUUAUUGGGCGUAAAGCGCGCGUAGGCGGUUUCUUAAGUCUGAUGUGAAAGCCCACGGCUCAACCGUGGAGGGUCAUUGGAAACUGGGAAACUUGAGUGCAGAAGAGGAGAGUGGAAUUCCAUGUGUAGCGGUGAAAUGCGCAGAGAUAUGGAGGAACACCAGUGGCGAAGGCGGCUCUCUGGUCUGUAACUGACGCUGAUGUGCGAAAGCGUGGGGAUCAAACAGGAUUAGAUACCCUGGUAGUCCACGCCGUAAACGAUGAGUGCUAAGUGUUAGGGGGGUUUCCGCCCCUUAGUGCUGCAGCUAACGCAUUAAGCACU
rnacentral:rRNA from 2 species